UACGCAGAGGUAUAGAGAGAUUGUAAAGUUAGUAUGAAAUCUUCCAUACCACUCGAAUGAUGCAAAUAAUUUCAUACUAUAGUAUAUAACUUCAUACUAUAGUAUAUUACGUCAACCACACUAAGUGCUGAAGAACUGAAAAUAGAAGAGCGACAGAAAAGCAUCGUACGAUGGCAAUUUCAGUGGGAUGCCGCAGUGAAGGGCAGGUGGACGUACCGUCUCAUACCAUGGAUUGACGUUUGGCUGAAUCGUAAUCACGGUGAGGUCAACUACUAUCUAACGCAGAUGCUAUCAGGAUAUGGCUGCUUUCGAGAAUACUUACACCGUUUCAAGCACGAUAAUUCUCAGGAGUGUCCGUCCUGUCCAGGAGUUAAUGAAGAUGCGGAGCAUGUUUUCUUUGUUUGCCCACGAUUUUAUUCACAGCGUGAUCAACUUGAAAAUAUCUUACACCAGAGUAUCCGACCAGAGACACUAGCAGAAACAAUGUUGUCGUCAAAAGCCGCAUGGAACGCCGUAAGCACGUUUGCAACAGAGGUCCUUACAGACCUGCGUUCCAUCGAAAGAAGAAGAGCAAAUGACAGAAACUAGAAGGAAGGAAAAAUAACACCUUACACGAUCUUGCGUGACUACAACUCACACCUCAGUCCAGAAGGAGGCAGUACGAUCUAUCUAGUGACCUUGUAGACAUCCACAGAGAAGAUUAGCAUGGCCCCUGCGCAAGGAUGACACGCAAAAUCGUGAAGCGUUCCACAUUUUU